GAGGGUAUAGCUCAGUGGUGGAGUAUGUGCUUAGCAUGCAUGGGGUCCUGCAUUCAAUCCCCAGUACCUCCA
rnacentral:tRNA from 1 species